rnacentral:rRNA from 1 species
UACGUAGGUGGCAAGCGUUGUCCGGAUUUACUGGGCGUAAAGGGCGUGCAGGCGGUCUGUUAAGUUCAGGGUGAAAGCUCCCGGCUCAACUGGGAGAGGUCCUUGGAUACUGGCAGACUUGAGGGAGGUAGAGGAGAGUGGAAUUCCCGGUGUAGUGGUGAUAUGCGCAGAUAUCAGGAGGAACACCGGUGGCGAAGGCGGGUCUCUGGGCCGAUAUUGACGCUGAGGAGCGAAAGCGUGGGGAGCGAACAGG